rnacentral:tRNA from 1 species
UCGGUCGUGGGUUAUGGGCUCGGAAUUGUGUGUCUGGGGUAUGCGCAGCGGGACUUGCCCAUGUCAUUGAUCACCUCCAUGUGGUCGGGCC